rnacentral:rRNA from 1 species
GGGUCAGUAGGUUGGUCGUGCCACCGGUACGUACUGGUCUCACUGAUUCCUCCUUCCUGAAGAACCGUAAUGCCAUUAAUUUGGCGUUGCGGGGAAACAGGACUGUUACUUUGAAAAAAUUAGAGUGUUUAAAGCAAGCUAACGCUUGAAUACAUUAGCAUGGAAUAGUGAAAUAGGACGAUCGAUCCUAUUUUGUUGGUUUCUAGGAUUGACGUA